UGGCCACCUCCUGGUGGUAAGUCUCGCUCCUGGAGUUCCCAUCUUGACCCUACAGCGGGACAUUUUGCCGCCACCUCUUUGUGUGUUGGGAAGAUGACGUCCUUUCUGCUCGUCCUGCUUCUCUGAUUGAUCUGUGUCUCUGGAGAUCCCUUUGCUCAGCCAUCAGAUCAAGCAGGCAUCCAUGGUUCAGAAUGGUGAUGACCUGGGCAAGAGCUCACCAGUAAGGAGCAAAGGGGCCCGCCUGCCACUCUUAAGCAGAGCGCCUGCUGAAUCAGGAUUUCCAAGGCUCCGGCUGAGUGCCUGGCUGGGGGCUGUGUGUGCAGAUGCCACAAGAUGGACAAGACUGAGGACGCAGAUUUCCUACAACAGCAGACUUCUGAUGCCCAGGCCUCAGUUCUGAACUCUGGAGGCUACAACCUGGCCUGCUUAUAGACGGUGGACCAAAUGAAGGUGAAGAGGAGACGGAUGAGGAAACUGAAGCAACUGUUCAAGAAGAGGAUAUAAAAAGGGACAGGCAUUGAUGAUGAUAUCAGAGCUUCUUCCUGGGGAAUCUCAGCCUCACAUGAUGGAGUAUGACUAAAGGAAAAAAAUAAGGCUCUUCACAUACUUUCUUGGCAGUCUGUGAGGGUCAGGGUUGAUUUUGUGUCCCUAAAAUGUCACAUGAAGUUCAUAGGCACUUCCAAAGGGGCAGUCUAGCAAGUUAAAGAGUAGAUGUGGGGCUGUGUGGAGUCCAUUGUUUGGGUAAUCUUUUUCAAACAGUAGGAAUAUACCAGCUUGUAAAGAUUUGCCCACUUAGCUUCAAGUCUCUCUGAACACAUUUCCCCCCGCUCUAUGAAUAGAUGAAGACAUACAAAUGGAACUCUUGAUAUUCUUAAGUGAAAAACAUGAUAUGGAAUAGCAGAUAAAUACAAACAAU
rnacentral:lncRNA from 1 species